UGAUUGUGCGAUGAUGAUAAAUGUUAAUCCCAGCUCAUUAUGAGACCUUCGAAAGGUCAGGGAAAAGACUUACUUAACAUCUGUCUGAGCUCCUCG